rnacentral:rRNA from 1 species
GACGAACCGUGCGAACGUUGUUCGGAAUCACUGGGCUUAAAGGGCGCGUAGGCGGGCCUGCCAGUCCGUGGUGAAAGCCCCCAGCUCAACUGGGGAAGUGCCGUGGAUACUGCGGGCCUCGAGGGAGGUAGGAACGUGUGGAACUUCCGGUGGAGCAGUGAAAUGCGUAGAUAUCGGAAGGAACGCCGGUAACGAAAGCGACGCGCUGGACCUCUGCUGACGCUGAGGCGCGAAAGCCAGGGGAGCAAACGGG